rfam:Valsa mali var. pyri strain SXYL134 unplaced genomic scaffold scaffold00041, whole genome shotgun sequence.
GCAAGGAUAGUUUAAUGGUAGAAUCCAGGCUUCCCAUGCCUGGGGUUCGGGUUCGAUUCCCGGUCCUUGCA